AUACGGAGGAUGCAAGCGUUAUCCGGAUUUAUUGGGUUUAAAGGGUGCGUAGGCGGUUUGCUAAGCGGGAGGUGAAAUGCCGGCGCUCAACGUCGGAAGUGCCUCCCGAACUGGUGGACUUGAAUGACUCUGCCGUGGGAGGAAUGGGUAGUGUAGCGGGGAAAUGCUUAGAGAUUACACAGAACACCGAUUGCGAAGGCAUCUCACGAAGGGUUGAUUGACGCUGAGGCACGAAAGCGUGGGGAUCAAACAGGAUUAGAUACCCUGGUAGUCCACGCAGUAAACGAUGAUGGCUAACCGCUGGGCUUAUCAGUUCAGUGGCCAAGCGAAAGCGAUAAGCCAUCCACCUGGGGAGUACGACCGCAAGGUUGAAACUCAAAUGAAUUGACGGGG
rnacentral:rRNA from 1 species